rnacentral:lncRNA from 1 species
GACUGGCGUGUGAAGGAUAGACAAAAGAAAGAACAAAUAUGAAAAGGGAAAAUCUGAAAACGUCCUGCAGCUAUUCAACUUAUACGUUCAACACAACCUCCAAGUUAUGGAGAAAGAGUGAGAGUUCGUGGGUAAAUUAUCAUUAGAUCAAACAGGUAUUAUUAUUAUUAUUAUUAUUACUUCGACUCUUUCUGUAAAUGCAUGUGUUCUGUAUAUUGCUUUUCCAGUGGCAAAUUAUUGAGAUAAUAGUAGGUUUCAUAUGGGUGAUACAGCAUAUAAGCUGUUUGAUGAAUUUCUGCUGUGCCUUUUUUAGCUUCUUAACGUACAAAGUCUGUCUUCAUCUUCGAAAAUUUUAUCUCCUUUAAACUUCAUCUUUUUAUUAUUUAUUUAUUUAAUACUAAUAUAUAACUUUUUGAUGCAAGAUGGGCAUAAAAAAUACAUUCCAAGUAUAUUUGUUGCAUUCUGUUGAUUAUUUAUUUAUAAGCACUUCAAUUAGAAAUGGGGCUGAUUUUCAAAUAAUAUUGUAUCAUUUGAAUGCUUUGAUGGUAAGAAUCAAUAUAAUGUAUUCUAGAACCAACAAUAUCUUUAUUAUCUUCACGACUCAAUUUAUUUAUUUAGACUUUUUGGGGUUAUAUUCAUUUCAUUUCUUUCUAGUUCUCCAGAGGAAAUAAAGUUCGGUUAUGUUUGGUAAUGCUCUGUAUAUAAGUCACCACGUAGAGAUGAGAGGACCUUGAGACCUUAGAAAUAUUUUACAUGUUAAAUGAAACUUUUCUACUAUAUUUUUAGUAUUAUAUAUUUGCUUGUUAUAUCUAAAAUCUAUACCAAUUUUAAACUACAAGUGUAAGGUUGGUGUAAUGGAUAAGUCCAGCUUGUUGAGUGGCUGUCUUGAUCCCCGCGUGUCCCUUUUUAAGUAAUUAUUGAAUCACCCGGCCAAAUCUAGGUGGUAGAGGACCGUCUAGUGCCUAGGCGGGGAUUAAUUGUACCUAAGUGGAGGUUUUUAGAACACUGCUUUUGGAACAUGGAUUUAUUUUCAACAAAAAUACAUUCAAGUGCUGUGAAAAAGGUAAAUAGAUAAGAUAUAACGAAGAGAUCACAUAAAGAGAAAUUGCUCUUUUGUAAGAGGUGAUUUUUAUCAUGUUUCGGUGGCUGCUUAUUCCACCUAUGGAGAUAUAUCCUCACAGUCUUUAUAGGAGGCAUUACUUUUCUGGAUAAAAUAUUAAAUUCAAGUAUAGCAUUUAUUGUCUAUUCUAUGUUAUAUUUUAAUGAGGUUUAACCGUUUAAGGAACAAAGGUUGAAACAAUAUUUAAUAGAUCUAUUCAGAGCAUUAGGGUGAUUUCAACAGGUAAAAUAAAAAGGUUGAGGCAUAUGCAUAUAUAUAGGAAUGCAAGCUUGAAGAGUGUUUCAAUUGAAAAGGCACGGUCUUCAAGUUAAGAAAUGAUGAGAGGACUGGUGAGGCGGAGGCUCAGUCAAAGAGCCUCUACUUUAUUAAUGGUUGAGUUGAUGCAUGCAUUUGUACGUGAUAUUGGAGGUUGUGAAUCAAGUGAGCAAAGGACAGGGCGAGAUAUUGAUCCAUUAAUGUGCCAUUGAGACAAAAGGAAGGCCAAAGGUUACUGUUGUGAAUAGAGAUCUAAUGGACCAAAAGUUACGCAACAACAAGGAUUUGAAAUCAAGGGGGAUAUUUUCUGUGAUGUGACUUAAAUCAUUUUCCAUGAAGAAUUUCAGUUUUCCAUUCCAUUAAGUUUUUGCCUUUCCUAUUCCUUUAUUGAUUUGGGAUCUCUCAUCCUAGAUUCUAUAUUUAUGGUCCUUGGGGUUUAUAUUCUUGUUUCUAUUGGAGAAUGUACCAAAGGGUAAGGAAAAUUCUAAAGAUUGGGAGUUGGGCUAAGAUCUUCAUGGAGCUUGAGACUGUAUAAGGGGCUUAGGGAUUGUUUGGCUGAAAAGCACAUACGCUUUUUUGUUGAUUAUGCAAUAAGUUCUUCAAGUUUACUGAAAUUGAUUCUCACUGUGGAUGUAGACAUGAGAAUUACCGGACCACGUUAUUUUUGUGUUUCUUAUCUUCUUUUCAUCUAUAUUCUUGCUUUUUACUUUUGUUCCCUUAGUAUCAUAUAUUUUGCGUGAUCCUUGAAUAAAGUCGUAUCGACUUUUGCAGGUGUUUGAAAGGCUCAUGACCCUAACAACAAUUCAUCAUUGUAUUUACAAAUAUUAUUUACUGAUAGGUAAGUUUGGCCAAUGUUACUUGGAAUGUGGAUAAUUUAAUGUAAUAUAACUGAAGAGAUUUAGGGGCAUUCUCCCUGUCUUGAAAUAUUGGUAAAACUUUGAUCUAAGAUAGGUGUGCUAAUGAGCUUCACUCGAACUAGAUUUGAAUAUGUAGUUUUAACUUGUCGUGUCUAUGUUUUGAUGAUUUACUUACAAAUUUUACACGGCUAACCUCAAAAGUUUUAAAUUCUCUACUACUUAGGAUUGGCUUCAAGAACUAAUGUGCAUAUUUUUUUUGUGUGUAUGAUCUUUAAAUACGUAAAAUGAAUUGAAGCAAGUUCGAUACUUGAUAUACUAUAUUGUACUUUCGACUUUUUGAUCAAUUAUGAAAAGUUAGCGCUUGUUAGGAUGAAAAGAAACACUUAAUUGAAGGUUUAAAAAUUUAAAAAUGUUUAUGUUAUUAGGACGGAAUACUUUUUGUAGGUGUGUUGAAUGUUUCUGUUCAUUUUCUUACAUGUUUAAACUUUUCAGUAAAAUCUCCUUGGAAAAUAACCUUAGGUCAGAUGCGCACCUCUAGGGCAUGAAAAUUCUCGGCUUAUUCUUUCUUGUCCCCUCUUGAUUUACUUUCUAGACAAGGAUAUCUGAUUAUUAAUAUAUUUAUGUUAUUGGUUUUCAGGAUUAUUCCGGGUUUGUGUGCAGCUGAAAAGUAAGAAAAAAGGGAACAUAACCAUAGCUGAAAUUACGAGAAUUUGGAUGUGGUGGGUUGGUAAUUUGGUAUGCCUGAACAUUUCCCUUUUUUUAACAGACUGCACCAUACCAAUUCUUUUAACAACGGAAGCUGCAAAUAAUAGUAAAAACACUGUUGCUGAAAUAUUUAUAUGUAUAAACUCUAGUAUAUAAUUUUUAGUUAGUUGUCGUGUGCCAAACAUGAGGUGGUAUGAUCCAGAGUUACUAUUUAGUUUAAUAUGGAUUUUUUACAUUCUGAAGCAGGAUAGAUUUAGUGUAAUAUGACCUAAAAAAACUUGAGUUAGGUGUCCUCCUCCAUAAUGCAUGCCUUGUGUAAUAUGGACUUCAAUUUUGUUCUCAUAUCUGCUUGAAUUAAUUGAAUUGUAUGCGUCAGACAUUAUAAUGGUGCAACUGAUGCCAGGUUUUAGUUUUCUUUUGUUUUUGUUCAAUUGAAGGAGAGUACUUGAAUAUGUAUAUGAUGA